GGGCCGGUAGUCUAGUGGCUAUGACGCCGCCCUCACGCGGCGGAGGUCGUGGGUUCGAAUCCCACCCGGCCCA
rnacentral:tRNA from 2 species